UCGUAGAGUAUAAAGGCAAAAGCGCGCUUGACUGCGAGACAGACACGUCGAGCAGGUACGAAAGUAGGUCUUAGUGAUCCGGUGGUUCUGUAUGGAAGGGCCAUCGCUCAACGGAUAAAAGGUACUCCGGGGAUAACAGGCUGAUACCGCCCAAGAGUUCAUAUCGACGGCGGUGUUUGGCACCUCGAUGUCGGCUCAUCACAUCCUGGGGCUGAAGCCGGUCCCAAGGGUAUGGCUGUUCGCCAUUUAAAGUGGUACGCGAGCUGGGUUUAGAACGUCGUGAGACAGUUCGGUCCCUAUCUGCCGUGGACGUUUGAGAUUUGAGAGGGGCUGCUCCUAGUACGAGAGGACCGGAGUGGACGAACCUCUGGUGUUCCGGUUGUCACGCCAGUGGCAUUGCCGGGUAGCUAUGUUCGGAAAAGAUAACCGCUGAAAGCAUCUAAGCGGGAAACUUGCCUCAAGAUGAGAUCUCACUGGGAACUUGAUUCCCCUGAAGGGCCGUCGAAGACUACGACGUUGAUAGGCUGGGUGUGUAAGCGUUGUGAGGCGUUGAGCUAACCAGUACUAAUUGCCCGUGAGGCUUGACCAUAUAACACCCAAACA
rnacentral:rRNA from 1 species